rnacentral:lncRNA from 1 species
GAUCCUCAGUCUUCCACAAUGAACCCUGUUUACAGCCCCGUGCAGCCUGGGGCUCCUUAUGGCAACCCUAAGAACAUGGCCUACACGGGUUACCCCACAGCCUAUCCAGCAGCUGCCCCUGCCUACAAUCCCAGCCUGUACCCCACCAAUAGUCCCAGUUAUGCUCCAGGUAAGGAGGAAAUGGGACAGCAGUGGCGAAUGGAGUGGGAAGGGGGACUCUAUUUGGGAAAAGCAAAACCACUUGCUGGCCUUUUCCUGUUCUUAAUUGCUCCGGGCGCAGCCUCUCCAGGCUGGAUUUUCCUGGGAGUCCCUUCUGGGAACUGGGACAAUCAGCCUCAGGGUAGGGGCGGGAAUAGAAUCUCCUCCACUCUGUCUGGGACUUAAGGUUGGCUCAUCUGUCCUAUGCUGGAAUGUCUGAGACCUGCAUCCUCCUCAUAGAACCUUUUCUGCUCUCCCAAGCAAUGUCCAAAUUCAUUCUUUGCUCAGUUUUCCCUGAGGCUGCCAUUGGGACACACACACACCUUGGGACACACACACACCCACACACCCCUUGGGACACACACACACACACACACACACACCUUGGGACACACACACACACACACACACACAUGCUCUUGCCACCAGAGGGCAAAGAGAUGGUUUUCAAGCUGAGAUAAGCUACUUGUUUUUCAAAAAUAAUAAAGGCCCAACACU